CCUACGGGGGGCAGCAGUGGGGAAUAUUGCACAAUGGGGGAAACCCUGAUGCAGCGACGCCGCGUGAGCGAUGAAGUAUUUCGGUAUGUAAAGCUCUAUCAGCAGGGAAGAAGAUGACGGUACCUGACUAAGAAGCCCCGGCUAACUACGUGCCAGCAGCCGCGGUAAUACGUAGGGGGCAAGCGUUAUCCGGAUUUACUGGGUGUAAAGGGAGCGUAGACGGCGAUGCAAGCCAGACGUGAAAGCCCGGGGCUCAACCCCGGGACUGCAUUUGAAACUGUGUGGCUGGAGUGUCGGAGAGGUAGGCGGAAUUCCUAGUGUAGCGGUGAAAUGCGUAGAUAGUAGGAGGAACACCAGUGGCGAAGGCGGCCUGCUGGACGGUAACUGACGUUGAGGCUCGAAAGCGUGGGGAGCAAACAGGAUUAGAUACCCCUGUAGUC
rnacentral:rRNA from 1 species